rnacentral:misc_RNA from 1 species
GAAAUGCGAUAAGUAAUGUCAAUUGCAGAAUUCCGUGAAUCAUCGAAUCUUUGAACGCACAUUGCGCCCUCUGGCAUUCCGGGGGGCAUGCCUGUCCGAGCGUCAUUACGCACCCUCAAGCCCGGCUUGUGUGAUGGGCCCCGGCGUCUCGUUCGCGAGACGGGCCCGAAAGGCAGCGGCGGCGUCGACCCGAUGAGCCCGAGCGUAUGGGGACUUCUGUCACACGUUCGCGGUGCGGACCGGCGCCUGCUUGACUUUUCUGAUUAUCCAGGUUGACCUCGGAUCAGGUAGGGAUACCCGCUGAACUUAAGC